AGGCCUGCUACCUGGAUCUGUCAUAUCAUCAUCCUCCACAUCAAAUGGGCAAGGGAAGUCAGGAUCAUCCAAAUCAUCCUGAAAAGACCUGCUGGAACUUCUGGAAAAUGAAAUCCGUGGAGAGCUGUUGGAUGAUAUCUUCAUCCCCGAAUACUUUCUAAUGUCAUCUUUCCCAAGAGAGAACAACUUCUCAUCUGAUGCACCAAUCUGAACAAAACCUGUGCUUGUAUCAGUCCUAGGAUAGCCAUAUCUGGUACCUUUAAGGGGAGGAGAUGGAGGCAAAUUUUGCCUGUUUGACAACACAGGGGAACUAGCAAGUUUGGCUAAAGGAAUGCUAACUGGUGCACUUUCAGACCGUAAAAGAGACUUAGAAAGAUGAUUCCCAGGAAUAUAGAUUGGUGGUGAUGGC
rnacentral:misc_RNA from 1 species